rnacentral:rRNA from 1 species
AUGCCACGUGCUGAUGGUCCUUUUAAGGUGUUAGAGAAAAUAAAUGAUAAUGCAUAUAAACUUGAGCUGCCUACAGAUUUUGGGGUUAGUCCCACUUUUAACAUUGCAGAUUUGAAGCCUUAUUUGGGUGAGGGAGAUGAGCUUCCGUCGAGGACGACUUCAUUUCAAGAAGGGGAGGAUGAUGAGGACAUCAAUACCAUUGUUACACCCACAGCCCCUACUGCUAUACAUACUGGACCAAUUACUAGAGCUCGCGCACGCCAAUUAAAUUACCAGGUACUUUCGUUUCUUGGUAAUGAUUCUAAUGUUCAUGAGAAUAUGAUGCUGCCUAAAUUGGAUACAUUUGUUUUGCUUACAAAUGAAGGGCCUAGCUUUGAGAAGGAUGAACAUUGGAGC